UGAUGGAGGAGAGACAGCGUCAUGAGAAAAUGAGUGAAAAAACUCACUCACUGAAGAGAAAAGACAAAGAAUGUGUCACCUGCACUCAGUGUGGGAAGAGUCUGGCAAACAAACAGAGUCUCAGAUAUCACAUGAGGAUCCACACUGGAGAGAAACCAUUCACAUGUUCUCAGUGUGGGAUGAGUUUCAGAAACUCAUCAAACCUUACUAAACACAUGAAGAUCCACACUGGAGAGAAAACACACAAAUGUGAUCAAUGCAGCAAAACAUUUUUAAGGGCUUCACACCUGAAGAGCCACCUUAGAGUUCAUACAAAGGAGAUGCUAUAUUCAUGCUCUGUGUGUGGGAAGAGUUUCACACGGCAAGAAAGUUUAAGAAGUCAUCAGAAGAUCCACACUGGUGUGGGAGAGUACAGGUGCUUUGAGUGUGAGAAGACCUUUUGUAGGGCUGAAAAUUUGAAAAUACAUGAGAGAAUUCACACUGGAGAGAAACCUUACAUUUGUUCACUGUGCAAUAAGAGAUUCAGUCAGUUUGCACAUAUGAAAACACAUGCAAGGGUUCACACAGGGGAGAAACCUUACAAGUGUUCAGACUGUGACAAGAGAUUCAGUGAUUCAGGAGAUCUGAGAAAACAUGAGAGGGUUCACACUGGAGAGAAACCUUAUAAGUGUUCAGACUGUGACAAGAGAUUCAGUGAUUUAGGAAAUUUGAGAAAACAUGCGAGGGUUCAUACUGGAGAGAAACCUUACAUUUGUUCACAUUGUGAUAAGAGAUUUAGUGAUUCAGGAAAUCUGAGAAAACAUGUGAGGGUUCAUACUGGAGAGAAACCUUACAAGUGUUCACACUGUGAUAAGAGAUUUAAUGAUUCAGGACAUUUGAGACAACAUGAAAGGAUUCACACUGGAGAGAAACCUUACAAGUGUUCACACUGCCACACAAGAUUCAGACAGUUAGGAGGCCUGAAAACGCAUGAGAGGAUUCACACCAGAGAGAAACCUUAAAGGGGUGAUCCACAGUGUUUUUUAAAGGUUUGAUUGUUUAUGGAGUGCAAAACAAUGUGUGUUUUCAUGAUUCAUUUGUAAAAAAAUCAUGUUAUUUGUUCACAUAUCUUACCUUUAUUUUAUACAGCUACUGAACUAUCAUGAAAAUGACCAUCAUAUUUCCUGGUUCUGUCUAUAAGGCCCGCCCUCAACGGGCUCUGAUUAGUCAGCUAACCUAAGUGAAGUUUAUUUAUAAACUAAUAUCGAGAGGAGCGCGUGCUUAUGAUUGAUGAUGGCUGGUCCCACAUUAACGCAUGAUUCCUAACUCACUAUAAAUAACCUGAGUUUCUUACUUUAGUUAUCUUUGCCUAGAUCAGGGAUACUCAAAUAUAAAUUUGAAAGGUCCACUCACCAAAUUUUUAUUCAGGCCGAGGUCCGGAAAAGUAACGCUCAAAUUCCAAAUACAGAACUCCAACAGAAAAAGGCAAUCGCCAAAUUUUCCAACUAUACACAAAAAAUAUCAUCAUAGAACCUUUAGUGUGAAAGGUGACACCUUCUUCGUGCCACCAGUUGUUUAAAUUUGGGCAUAAAAGGUCAGGGCCAGGCGGAGGCACUGAUGUAGGGGUUCAUUGGUGAGUGUGCUGCGGAAGUUUUUCACCAUGUUCAUGUUUGAAAAGGCAGAUUCACAGCAAUACGUUGAGGGAAACAUUGUGAGAAUUUGAAGGGCCAUCUUCUGCAGGAGAGGAAUACCUGCUGCAGUAAUUUUUGUCCAGAAGGUGACAGGAUCACAGAGAGAUUCCUGCAGUGCUAGGGUUUCUUGGAGCUCAAUUAGCUCAGUUUGUAAAACAGCAGCAUUUGCCUAUGGGAAGACUUUCAUGGCUUCAGUUGAGAAUUUUGCAAUACUUUUGACUAGAAAUGGAUUUUCUAUGCUCAAGAUUUAUUUUCCCAGAGGGAAAUCUUUAAAUUGAGUUUGGACAUUUUGAAUCAGUUUUUCAGGAUUUCAAUAUAAUUGUGAUGUAGAUGUUUUCCUGCAGUCUGAUCCAAAAGUCUUGAGAAGUGAAGCAAGUUCUGCUGUAAGUCACAUUUGAACACCUCCAGCUUCCUCUGGAAAGCACGGACAGCUGACAUGAGGUCUGUUUUUGCCCUGGAGCUUCAUAUUAAGGUCAUAAGGUGCGAAGUAAUGUCAGCUAGAACAGCAACAACUUCCAUUUCUUUUUCAUUCUUCAUGAAAUCCACAAAUGGUUAGGCUUUUGCACUCUUUUGAUCCAAAAGAAAUGUCUCAAGCUCUUUCCGCAGUGCCUAAAAUCUCUCCAGUACCUUGCCUUAACUAAGCCACAACAUUGUGGUGAAGAAACGUUGCAUUUACUUCUAUUAGAAAUGAGCGCAACAAACGAUGUUGCAGAGCAGAGGAUGCUCUCAGAUCGUUGACAAGUUUCAUCACUUUUGUCAUUACAUCUGAGUACCUUUCUCCAAGACUGGCACACAAAACCAUCUGGUGAAUUAUGCAGUGGUAUGCCAUGAGGUCAGGAUGGUGAGUUGUCGAGCGUGACACUAAUCCCCUCUCUCAUAAAAAUGACAGCCUGGAGUGCGCAAGAUAGUGAGCAUGUGAGCGAGCGAGUGACCUAGCUGCUAUAGCAAUGCUGGCUGUUACAACUGCUGUGAUUGGACAUAGUUGAAGCAGCCAAACGGAGUAGAAUCCUCAAGGAUAUAUCGCGGAUCCACAAUUGCGCACUCCAUUGAAAACUCAUUUGGAUUAUGAUUAAAUUGGCAUGCUGGUUUUGGCGUCGGUCCAGAUUUUUUCGUGUCCAGGUGCGGGCCGGAGUCCACCUAUUGAGUACCCCUUACCUAGAAGAAUCCCCCCCUUCCACCCCUACGCCUCCUGUGCGGAGUUUACAUGUUCUGCCCGUGCUAGGGUCGGUUUUCUCCCACAGUCCAAAAACUUGAGUCAUAUUUGAAUUGAUCAAUCUAAAUAAGCACUAAAGUCGAGCUCUUGACCAGCAGCAUAUCUCUAUAUAGCAAUUUAUAAUCUGUCAUAGACUCUAAAUAAGAUGGGUGGGGUUGGUUUGGUUCUUGAGACCUACCUGAGCUCAAACUCCCCUUUUGUCCUGCAAACAGAAGGGAGCCCCGUGCUCGAGGAACUUAUGAGCUCAGGGCUCUCUCCUCGGACAGCAUGCCAAAUAUGCUUUUAUAAUCAAACAUCAGCUAAGGGUGAACUCUUGAAUAUGUUGUGAUUGGCAGAUCAGCUCCACGUCACCAGGAAACAUCAUGCCUGUCUUGCAUGCUGUCAGGGCUGGCGCAUUCAUAGAGGUGACCUAGGCAGCUGCCUAGGGCAGCAGAAUAGUGAGGGUGGCGUCCAGCUCCUGGUCCUCACUAUCGUCUGCGACACCAGUCACUUCUGUUUUUACUUUCAAAUUGAGGGCAGCGUGAUGCGUGUUGUUUGCCUACAGUGUCAGUUCAGCUUGCUCCAGCCCCGCAUGCUGUCUGUCAGUCUGUAAACAAUGUCAGUGAAGCAGUAUCAGUUUGAGCCUGAGUCAGACACAGAAAAUGAAGAGGACACAGCUGAAGCCAUGCAAACGUGACUCUUGCAAGAUGUUUCAGAAUGGUCAUUGCAGAUCCACAUACAGGUUUAUUACAAGAGAAUGGUCAGGCAAGCAACGGUCGACACAGGGGCAAACGGAUGUAUACAGGCAAAUCCAGGGUCGUGGUCAUACAACAGGCGGAGGGUCAAAAGGCAGGCAGUAGACAGGAAUAAACAAUAAAACAAGGCAAGGGUCUAAGACGGCGAGGAAAACGCAUUGUUAGGGAUGGAUGACGUGAAGCUGAUGUUUUGACACAGUGUGGAGAUCUUAAAGCGCAAAUGAUUAAGAUGAUUUGAAACACCCAGGUCACGUGAUUGUGUUUUGAAACACCAGGGGCCUCAUGUGUUAGCGCUGUGUACGCACAAAAUCUUUGCGUACGCCAGGUUUCACGCUCACAUUUGGAUUUACUAAUGAUGAAAUGAACGUGAGAGUGUGCGUUGGUCUGCGCCAACUUCAUGUCUGGCGUAUGUGUAUUUCUUGUGUGUUUGUUUUAUUUCCAUUGGUGACUCCUAGAGACAAUUAUGUUAAAUUGCACACAAAGUAUCACACCAACACAUGUGAAAAACAUUGCUAUUCAUUUAUAAUUGAUAAAAUGGGUUAUUUGACUAUCUUUUAACGAACUAUGUUAUUUAGAACCUAUAAAAGCAUUUGCAACUAUAUACAACCCUUAGUCUAUGGUAAUGGCAGUGUUGGCCUUAUUAAAGGACAUUGUCAAUGGUCGAAUCCCAUGGGAACGCAUUUUUAGGAAUCACAGUGAUUUUCUGGCACACGAUGAUGACUGGCUUAUUAGCCAUUCAGAUUUCCUAGAGCUAUACUCCUGGAGCUUUGUGCUGAGUUGAGACUAAAUUUGUAAAGAGAGACAGCGAGGAGGCUCCAAGGUGGCAGGGUGCGCGAUGGGUGGCUUCUUGGUGAGUGAUGUAUUUAAAGAUUUUAUUCCAGCUAAGUUUUUUUUUUGAGCAUUAUUAUUAACUGCGUAUCAGGAGACUGUGGUUAUCCAUUAAAGACGGGGCUGUUAACCCCCCUCAACAACCCACAAACUGACCAAGUGCACAAAUGCAAUGAUUGGGCAGCUGAAAUGCCGGUGGUGCUGCCUUGAUAAGAGCAGAGGGGUGCUUCUAUACCACCCUCACAAAGUGUUCCUCUAAUACAUCUGUGUCUCCCACAGACACGGAUACUACUCCAGACAGUAAAGUGUCACCCACAAUUGAGGCAACUCUCUCCUCAAAGGGUGUUGGUUCAGCAUCCCCUGUUCCCACACCUGUUUGGUCCACACUUUGACAGUGCGCCACUGUUCUCCUCUUAAACUGCACCUUUACAUGGGACCGUUUCUUUAUUUAAUUCACUCACAGUGCGAUGUUCAGACCCCACUGCAUUAACCACGUCAGCUAAACUCGCCCACUCUAUUUUUUUUCUUUUGUUAUUAAAUCCGGAGGACAAACUUGCAAAUAACACAGUUUUCUCCAGUCUACCUCUGACAGAAGCACCUCCAAUUCACAUUGCUUUUUCAUUUGGUUUUGCCAAAGUAGAGUCAUCACCAUAUUUAUGCGGGGGAGGAGGCAGGGAGGGGUUUUGCGCUUGUGCACGUGCGCUCAGUUUCACGUUAAUUCUGAUGUACAAAGAGAAUAUGCGUAGGAUUCUGCAUAUGCAGUGUUUCAUACAUCUGAAUUUUUUACUGCGUACGCACAUUUACAGCUUCAUUCGGAUGCAAUGUUUUAGUAUCAAUUCAACGCAAGUCUUUGUACAUGAGGCCCCUGGUUACGUGAAUAAAGUGAUUCAAAGCUUUGGUCAUUUCAGAAGCGUUUCGAGACCUGAUGAAUCUGCAUUUCACUGACAGGGUAUCUCAUGUAGUCUAGUGGGGUAUUGUGUAACUGCUGCUAAUGGCCUGAGUUUAAAUCCUGACUUGUAUAAAUGCUCAGAAAUUAUAAUUUGAUGUAUUUUAAUACUGUUACUUUAUGUUUUAUAACCAAAAAUAAGACAUAUUUAUUCACAAAGUGUUUAUUCAGAUGUCAGACCAAUGUUAAAACAGAACACGUUACAAGAACAGAGCAUUUACAAACUAAUAUUUAUGACUGCCUUAAAAGCAACAAGUUGACUUCACAAAGAUAAUGUGAGUAAACCCAUUGU